UACAUAUAUGAGUAUGCAGUGAUAAAUUGACUUCGGCCGCCUGCGGCCUGAUUAUAUUACUGUUUAUUAAACUAGUCUUGCACACACUUCGGUUCACCAUUUGAUUCUGACACCUGUCAAUGUACGGUCUUUUGAGCCAUAUAUGCACCACCAAACCAAACCACCUGUCAAUGUAAAAGCAAUUAACUCGCCAAUCAAUUUCCACAUAACGGCGAAAGACAUGUUUGCAAAAGAAACUGUCACCCAUACAUUUGCACGUAUUUACUACAACGUCUAGUUGUUUUUUUUUGGGAGGUGUAUAGAAAAUAUAUAUAAAAGGGGUCGUGUGUACGUGAGAGGUCAAAGUUUCAUCAAAUAAUAUUGAAGAAAUGUUAAAGAGAGUAUACAACACAGUAGCUGAUGAUGCGGUGCAGUAAUUUAUAAACAUCGCCUGCUGAAUAUGUGACAGACAGCAUGAAAUUACUUGUUAUUCACUUUUUAAAUAGAUCUUGAAGAAUAUUAAUUGAAUCUUGAGUUUUUGACUGUCAUGAAAAAGAUGCCUUCUGAAAUGUUCCUGGGAAAUGGUGGCACUCUCCAUCGUUCUUUGAUGUUCAUAUUGAAGCUUGG